GCCUAGAUAGUUCAGUUCGGUAGAGCUCCGCGUUGAAAGCCGCGGGACGCGGUUUCGAAUCCAUCUCCAGGCA
rnacentral:tRNA from 1 species